rnacentral:rRNA from 1 species
UACGGGGGGGGGCAAGCGUUGUUCGGAAUUACUGGGCGUAAAGGGUGCGUAGGCGGUUCACUAAGUUGGAUGUGAAAACUAUGGGCUCAACUCAUAGCUUGCAUCCAAUACUGAUGGACUAGAGUUCUGGAGGGGGUAGCGGAAUUCCUGGUGUAGCGGUGAAAUGCGUAGAUAUCAGGAGGAACACCGGUGGCGAAGGCGGCUACCUGGACAGAGUCUGACGCUGAGGCACGAAAGCUAGGGGAGCAAACAGG